rnacentral:rRNA from 1 species
UGCCAGCAGCCGCGGUAAUACGGAGAUGGCAACCGUUAUUCGGUAUCACUGGGCUUAAAGAGUUCGUAGGCGGCUAUGUAGGUCAGAUGUGAAAUCCCACGGCUCAACCGUGGAACUGCGUUUGAAACCACAUAGCUUGAGGGAGAUAGAGGUGAGCGGAACAGAUGGUGGAGCGGUGAAAUGCGUUGAUAUCAUCUGGAACACCGGUGGCGAAAGCGGCUCACUGGAUCUCUUCUGACGCUGAGGAACGAAAGCUAGGGUAGCGAACGGGAUUAGAUA